GUGCAGAUCGUGCAAAGUUUG
rnacentral:misc_RNA from 1 species